GGCUAAUACCGGAUGUGCCGAAAGGUAAAAGGCUUGCUGCCUAAAGAUGAGCUCGCGUCUGAUUAGCUAGUAGGUGUGGUAAGAGCGCACCUAGGCGACGAUCAGUAGCUGGUCUGAGAGGAUGAUCAGCCACACUGGGACUGAGACACGGCCCAAACUCCUACGGGAGGCAGCAGUGGGGAAUUUUCCGCAAUGGGCGAAAGCCUGACGGAGCAAUACCGCGUGAGGGAGGAAGGCUCUUGGGUUGUAAACCUCUUUUCUCAGGGAAGAACAUAAUGACGGUACCUGAGGAAUAAGCAUCGGCUAACUCCGUGCCAGCAGCCGCGGUAAUACGGAGGAUGCAAGCGUUAUCCGGAAUGAUUGGGCGUAAAGCGUCCGCAGGUGGCUAUGUAAGUCUGCUGUUAAAGAGUGAGGCUCAACCUCAUAAGAGCAGUGGAAACUACAUAGCUAGAGUGCGUUCGGGGCAGAGGGAAUUCCUGGUGUAGCGGUGAAAUGCGUAGAGAUCAGGAAGAACACCGGUGGCGAAAGCGCUCUGCUAGGCCGCAACUGACACUGAGGGACGAAAGCUAGGGGAGCGAAUGGGAU
rnacentral:rRNA from 3 species